GGGCCUGUAGCUCAUUUGGCUAGAGCACUUCGCUGGCAGCGAAGGGGUGAGGGGUUCGAAUCCCCUCAGGUCCA
rnacentral:tRNA from 1 species